GACGAACGUUGGCGGCGUGCUUAACACAUGCAAGUCGAACGGAAAGGCCCUGCUUUUGUGGGGUGCUCGAGUGGCGAACGGGUGAGUAACACGUGAGUAACCUGCCCUUGACUUUGGGAUAACUUCAGGAAACUGGGGCUAAUACCGGAUAGGAGCUCCUGCUGCAUGGUGGGGGUUGGAAAGUUUCGGCGGUUGGGGAUGGACUCGCGGCUUAUCAGCUUGUUGGUGGGGUAGUGGCUUACCAAGGCUUUGACGGGUAGCCGGCCUGAGAGGGUGACCGGCCACAUUGGGACUGAGAUACGGCCCAGACUCCUACGGGAGGCGGCAGUGGGGAAUAUUGCACAAUGGGCGGAAGCCUGAUGCAGCAACGCCGCGUGCGGGAUGACGGCCUUCGGGUUGUAAACCGCUUUCGCCUGUGACGAAGCGUGAGUGACGGUAAUGGGUAAAGAAGCACCGGCUAACUACGUG
rnacentral:rRNA from 1 species